CGCAGCAGACUCCUGGGCCUGAUGUGCUAGCUGCCCAUUUGCUAUGGGCCUUCGCUCCCCAGAAGCACCUCUCUGGGUAUGGGGCAAACACCCCUCAUUGCUGCAAUGCAGCCUCUGCUGGAGUGAAACAGGAUGCUUGAUUUCUAUUGCGUCAGUAGCAACACUGCCCAGAGGUCUAAGAGAGGAAGUCAGAGCAAAGCCCAUCAAAGCCCACCCAGAACAGCAGGGAAAUUCCAAGUCAUCGGUUUCUAGUUCUCCCCAUGCGUGUGGUGGCCCUGCUUUGUGGUGAGCCUCCAGGACUGUCCUGCUGUGCCUCUGAAGCACCUGCUCACAGAAGGGUGACCCAUUGAGGCAUGCAGUGGGUUGAUACAAAUGUCAACUCCAGCCCCUGUCAUCAGCUAAAGGUCAGCAAAUGAGUUCUCUGGCAUUUGGGGUCUGCAGGAGCAAGUGAGUACUGUGAACACCUGCAGUGUGGAGACCACGUCCAUCUAAUUGGCGUCUAUGGGGCCCAGUGCCAGGCUGGGCCCAAGUGUCGAUUCAGGAAGGGUGUCUCAGGAUGCAGAAGCCGCCUGAUGCGUGCAGAGGUGGAUAGGCCUUCAGCCUGCUCUCCUCCUCUGUCCUGCAGCGGGCCUCCUGUGCACACAGCAGCGUGGGUGGAUCUGAACAUUUCAGUGCUGAGUGAAAAGGGUAAGAAACAGCAAGAGACGCGUGGCAGAACACUCCUUAGGAAAAUUAAAAAUACACACAUAAAGUCACUGUAUUUUUAAAGAAUUGGCACAAAUAAAAAUACAUAAACACAAAAACCAAGACAACACCCUGAAAACACAGCAGCAGAUCAUGUGGAUCGUGUGCCUUAGGCAUUGUUGACAGUAAGUGGCAAGGCAAAGCAGGCACCCCUGAUGCUUUACUUUUGUUUGUUCACUUCACAGAGUGAAGCUCCUGAUGCUGCCUUAAUGAAGAUUUAUAACAUCCAUCCAUCCAUCCAUCCAUCCAUCCAUCCAUCCAUCCAUCUAUCCAUCCAUCCAUCCAUCCAUCCAUCCAUCCAUCCAUCCAUCUAUGCAUCCAUCCAUCCAUCCAUCCAUCCAUCCAUCCAUCCAUCCAUCUAACAAAAACACAUAUCAAGUGUUCCUAAAUGUAAGACACUCCCCUUAGUGCUGGAAGGGAGGAAGAGAUAAAGACAUCAUCUCCUUUCUAGAGAAGUUUUUAAUCCACGUAAGGUCACAAUGAGGGAGGAGUAAGAGAGAAAUAGUACAGCUGACCUAAGAUCAACACGGGUUUGAGCUGCAUGGGUCCACUUACACGAGGAUUUUCUCUGCCUCUGCACCCCUGAGACAGCGAGACCAACCCCCUCUUCCUCCUCUUCAGCCUCCUCAACAUGAAGACCACGAAGAUGAAGACCUUUACGAUGAUCCAUUUCUACUUAAUGAAUAUAAAUACAUUUUCUCUUCCUUAUGCUUUUCUUAAUACUGUUUUCUUCUCUCUAGCUUACUUUAUUAGGAGGAUACGGCAUAUAAUAGUCACACACUGCAUAAGGACAUUUCAGUGAGUGACACACCACACAUACGACAGUGGUCCCAU
rnacentral:lncRNA from 1 species